rnacentral:rRNA from 1 species
GAACGUAGGGUGCAAGCGUUGUCCGGAUUUACUUGGGCGUAAAGCGCACGUAGGCGGCUUUGUAAGUUAGAGGUGAAAGCCCAGGGCUUAACCCUGGAAAUUGCCUUUAAGACUGCAUCGCUAGAAUCGUGGAGAGGUGAGUGGAAUUCCGAAGUGUAGAGGUGAAAUUCGUAGAUAUUCGGAAGAACACCAAGUGGCGAAGGCGACUCACUGGACACGUAUUGACGCUGAGGUGCGAAAGCGUGGGAGCAAACAGGG